CGUGUAGGCGGCCAGGUAGGUCGGUUGUGAAAACUCGAGGCUCAACCUCGAGAUGUCGACCGAAACCAUCUGGCUAGAGUCCGGAAGAGGAGAAUGGAAUUCCCGGUGUAGCGGUGAAAUGCGCAGAUAUCGGGAAGAACACCCGUGGCGAAGGCGGUUCUCUGGGACGGUACUGACGCUGAGACGCGAAAGCGUGGGGAGCGAACA
rnacentral:rRNA from 1 species